AACGGGUCCUACACCUCUAUACCGAAAUACCCGAAAAUCCGAAAUACCCGACCCGAACCCGAACGGGUACCCGAACGCCCACCCCUAACUUUUUCAUCUUACGUGUCUUUGGUCUAGGGGCAAAACGGGAAUGAGGAUGCAAUUGUGUACAGUGAGCGUGAUUUUUUUUAUGGUUUUGGGUAGUUCCUUAAUUUAGUGCACAUUUAUGUAUAUCUAGCCAAUUAACUCUAAAAAUAAAAUCAUGCUACAAUGGUAAUUGUUAGAUGAGACAAUUUGAACAUAAUUUUGAUCUUAUACAUCCAUGUGUAAGCGCAUGCGCUUAUAUUUGAAAUACAUUAUGCGACGUAACAUCCGGUAUCGAUUAAAGAUCCAGUCUGCUAGCAUUAUCUCUAUAACUAAUGUGUCGUUGUGUAGCCAGUCUAAGUUUUCCAUUUCUUACUCUAUAAACUUUAUGAUUGCAUCAUCUUUUAUCAUAUCUCUAGCUCCUGUGGACACAGAAAUUACUCUAUUGCCAUAGUCCUUUAUUGCUCGUACUGAAUCAUCAGAGAAGGGAUUUCCUCUCAUUAUCAUAUUGGUUCUUUUUCUUGAGGUCAGUGGGCCCGGUGCUUCAGUGCUCUUAGCUUCCCGAUCUCUCUUGGGUGCACUUGUGUUGUUGUUGUUAAUUCAGAGUGAGACCUCCAUCUGUGCUAACCCUUCUUCGUGAAACUUGGAGUAAAAGAAGUUUUGGAAACCGAAAUACUGCUGAGUGGUAUGUCCUCCUCUGUUGUGGAAGCUGCAAAAAUUUUUGGAUUUGUCUUUCUCCCCCAUCUCCUAUAUUCCAUGACUCGGGUCUGGGUUUGUUUGAUCGAGGUUUUGAAGUUUCCUUAUUUGAUUGUCAUCGGUUUUGCUUCAUUCUCUGACCUUACAGCUCUGAUCUUGUGAAUUUUCGUCUCUUCUCAAUUCUCCUCGUCGUUUUUGCCUAUCGUCGCAUGUAUUUCAGCAAACACCUUCUUUUCUUCUUCCAUUUCCAUGUAUUUUGAAGCUCUGUGGAGAGAGUCUUCCAGUGUGGAUCGUUUGUUAAGUAAAAGCUCUUCAUAAAGGCGUAAUUCAUGCCAUAAGUCAUUUAGCAGUGGAGAUAUGCAUGCACAGUCACUCACAACAAUGUUAGAGGGGAUGGUUUUUAACCUUCUAAUGAAAGAUCGAAGCGGCUCUCCUUAUCUCUGGGACACUGUGAUAAGAGUAUUGAUAUCUCUAACUCCUUUAUUGAUUAUCAGAAAUGGAUUACAAGAAGAAACAAGAACAAGCUUUGAUGAUUGACUCCGAUUACACUCUCAUGGCGAGUGUAAUCAUCAUCACUGAUCUCAUGGCGAUCAGGUGCAAGGACUCAUGGCGUCACUCACUUACAACAUUCAAAGCAUAAACCUCCGAUGAAGAAUAAGAACUAUAUUUAUAUCUAGUCUUUCCUCGUGAGUCUUCUCAACCGCAAAGCUACUGAUUCAAGUAGAGGCUCUCUUCCUUCUGCUUUUGGUGCCAUUCCUCUGCCAGCUCAGCUACUCAUCUGCCAGCUCAGCACAGCCCACUCUUGAUGUCUAUCACACUGCUCACAUAUCGGUGUCAUAAGCUCUUUUCUCCAUACACAUAUAUAGAGUAGUGCUUCACAAACACAAUCGACAGCUGGUUAACGUUGUUGAUGUGUUGGUCUAUACACGAGAAAAAAAGUUGAGAGCCGGUCCUACCAGAUUCUCGACGAAGAACUUGCAGUAACCGACAUCUUGUUAUCCAUCGUUGAAGUGAGUACCCUUCAUUGCAUGCAAAAGGCGCUCAUGUGAGCUCGGGGGGUCUAUUUUCCAUUGUAUAGGAGGGGGGGAAUCUUAAGUUUGAUGUUUGGGAUCAGGAGUCUUGUGAUGUGAGUUGUGAAUGGUGUCCUUUGUGUCUCUUAUAUGAAUUUGUCUACUUCAGGAGCUGAGCUGAUGACUCGAUGGAACUGGGUUUGCAUCAAUCGGGAGGUCAGCAUGGUCCGGAAUGGUUGCUGUCGGAUCUGUUGAGUCAUGCUGGAGUGUAUGUCUUCCCUAGGACUACAUUUCAUGGAGUUCUCGAAGAUGAGGCUAGUAAGUCGUUGAUCUGAGCUUGUUGUCCCACCUUGGUUUGCAAGAUUUGCUCCAGACGAUGCAUGGCUUGUUGUUCUGAUGUAUCAUGUUGACGUGCAUUGAAGUAGAACAAAAAAACAUGUCAUAAAUUUUUUCGGUACCUGGUUUAUCAGAGCUGUUGUAUCGACAGUCAAGUACUGGCGGUAGUUCCGCCAUUUGGGAUGGCGGAAUGGGCAAAACAAAAGUCCAGCCGAAUCGGAUUUCCGUCUGAAUCAAGCAACGGGGUCUGGAUGAACGGUGUGCCACCAGAGUUAACCUAUUGCAUUCAUCGUUGGAAAUAUUAAUGUUUAUGUUGCUUCCUGUAGCACCAGAUGUGUCUGGUCUUUGUUUCAAGUUAAAUUAUUCAAAAGGGUGUUUUAUGUUUAAUCCCCCUUAAUUCUAGUAGUCCGCUUAGAAAGUAGGAUUUAAUGUUUUGAUAACAUACAUAAAAAAAUAGAAUUAACGACAAUUUUUUUCCAGAAAUUCCUAAUUUUCAGAAUUCACCCUCUGAAUCACCUCUCUGCUGAAGUGUCCUAUUACAAAUAGUUAUUCUUUUCCAAUCCCUUCUAUCUUUUGUAACCGAAUCUAUCAAACCAAAAAAAUACGAUAUAAAACCGAAACUAAACCGAAGAGGAGGUAAAGACGUGCAAUAUUUGCUUAGGGAUGUGAAGUUUUAUUGUUCUACAUAAAGAACUGAAUGAAAAACUUCAAAAAAAAGUAUAGCAACAACUCUUAAGAUUAUUACACAACUCUGUAGACAGCUUACAAUGAUUAUUACACAAGUCUGUAGACAACUUACAAGAACUGGAUCCAAAGUUCAUGAACAAACACAAAGAACCAUCAAACU